UAGGGAAUCUUCGGCAAUGGACGAAAGUCUGACCGAGCAACGCCGCGUGAGUGAAGAAGGUUUUCGGAUCGUAAAACUCUGUUGUUAGAGAAGAACAAGGACGUUAGUAACUGAACGUCCCCUGACGGUAUCUAACCAGAAAGCCACGGCUAACUACGUGCCAGCAGCCGCGGUAAUACGUAGGUGGCAAGCGUUGUCCGGAUUUAUUGGGCGUAAAGCGAGCGCAGGCGGUUUCUUAAGUCUGAUGUGAAAGCCCCCGGCUCAACCGGGGAGGGUCAUUGGAAACUGGGAGACUUGAGUGCAGAAGAGGAGAGUGGAAUUCCAUGUGUAGCGGUGAAAUGCGUAGAUAUAUGGAGGAAUACCAGUGGCGAAGGCGGCUCUCUGGUCUGUAACUGACGCUGAGGCUCGAAAGCGUGGGGAGCAAACAGG
rnacentral:rRNA from 2 species